rnacentral:tRNA from 1 species
GGUUGUGGCUCAGUUGUAGAGUGCUUGCCUAGCACAUGUGAGAUAUUGGGUUCAAUUCUCAGCACCA